UAGGCGAGGGAAGGUUUGGGCCAUGGUUGUAUUGAAAACGGAGAGGUAAACCUCUCUCAUUAAGCCUCGCUGCUGGUUGAAUCAAAUACUUUUUUUUCUUUUUUUUUUUUUUUUGUCUUUUUAGGUCUGCACCUGUGGGUAUAUGGAAGUGCCCAGCCUAGGGGUUGAAUCAGAGCUGCAGCUGCCGGCCUACACCACAGCCACAGCAACGCGGGAUCCAAGCCUCAUCUGUGACCUACACCACAGCUCAUGGCGACACCAGAUCCUUAACCCCCUGAGUGAGGCCAGGGAUCGAACCCAAGUCCUCACGGAUACCGGUCAGUUUCAUUACCACUGAGCCACAAUGGGAACUCCCAGAUGCUCCUCUUCUGAUGCCACCUUCUCUUGAGAAUUUCUGGGAUUGGGUAGUGGUUGGAUAGCUACUCUUGUUGAGAUUCUAGAGACUGAAGCCCCAUUACCCUGGGGUGGAGGGAGGCACCCCAGUUGCUCUGAGAAGAUUACGGAGGAUUUUCCGGUGACCAGAGGGUCUCGCUGAAGUUUACACCCAGGGGUGACUUCCUGCGUCCGCUCCUGCAGCCCCAAGAGUCCCCCUCGUUUUCUGGGAUUCCAAACCUCCCCCUCCUUGCAGCAAUCACCUUCUCAGGAGCAUGACUCACUUUUUCCUCCCGAGUCUAGGGGUUGGGGUGGGAUGCAGAACAGAGGCUAGAGCACCAAGCAAGUGACGUGGCCCCUCUAUUUUCUUGGUCGAUGUUGGCGUCAAAAUCUCCAGACUUGUCUGCCUCAGAUACGGGAUUCUUUUAAGAAGACUCUCCCAAACCAGACAAUACCCUUUGGCCCAAAGGACACCUGCCAUGGGGGGAAUGAUCCGGGAUGUGUUUGCCAGAGUGGAGCGUGCAGGGGCUGGCAAGGAAUAGCCCUUGCUGGUGCCACACGACGGUGACUCAAACAUGCGGGUGAGUGAAGGCCCACAGGUACUAACGGGGGAGCUCUCUGUGCUUCCCUGACCACACAGCACAGAAACAGGCGAACUCAUGAGUGGGGAACGGCCCUUUGGGGGAGGAGGGGGAAGCGGGUCUUAGGGAUGCUGGUGAUCCCUUGGUUUUCUUUGUGCUGAGUGCCGACUGCAGAGCUGCGUUCUUCGUAAAGAUGCAUCUACCUGUACACUAAUAAUAGGCACCCUUCCCACAAGGUGCACUGAAUUAAGCUUUUGUUUUCAAAUGUUAUAUGGCAAAAGCAAGUGAAUCUCAACUCCUUGGCCAAUGCUUCUCUGCAUUCAGUCCAAGAGCCCCACCUACGCUCUCGCCCUUUCUGCAGUUACCAUUUAGAUGGGGAGAAAGCCCUGUAAGACCUUGCAAGCUUUUCCGUGAUGGCCUCUCUGGCAAAACACCAUCAAGCGUUUGUGAUUCUUGGAGGCCUAAGGGUUUAGAGCUUUAGUAUCAGGGACUUUGGACACUGUCGACAAACAAGUUAUUAGGAGCUUUUUCAAGUACUCCUGCUGGGGUCAUGUGGGCUGUUGGCCAAACUAUUUCUUCUGUACUCAGACUUCAGGAAGACGCGGUUUCUUUUUCCGUGAGAGGACUGUGGCGAUUAUAAGCUGGCAUGGGUUUGGGGUACAGUUGCCUAAUCUUAGAGGGUGACUGGAAAAACCCAGAUGUGAGGGACGCGGGCCACAAAAAGGCCUCCUGAGGGAGUUCCCUGGUGGUCCAGUGGUGAAGGAUUUGGUGGCGUCACUGCUGUGGCUCAGGUUUGAUCCCUCACCACGGAUAAAUAAGUUAAUUCUCUAUAAGUAAGUUAAUUGGUUCACCUUGAUGUUUUCCAGGAAAUGAAGAAAUUGGUUUUAAAAGUUGUCUUAUGCUAAUAUCUGAUGAGGGAAUCUGGACAUAUCUUGAGGACGUUCACUGCGGUGUCAGGCCCUCUCCAUCCCCUGACAGCGAUGCUCCAUAACCAUUUACUGAUUUUUCUAAGAAGCAGGUGAUACUGUGAUUUAUACUAAGAAAUAUACACUUGGGUGUUCAUCCACAGUUCCUGGCUCACAGUUCCCAAAUCCCUUACAAUUUCCUAAUUGAUGAGAGCGAUAAAGGCAUCUUUUGUUCAAAUAUUUGGUUUUGUCCUCAGAUUCUGAAAUAGCUUCAGAGGGGUAAACAUGACGUCAUAUGACAGAAUGAUGAUAAUGUUGUAAAUUAACUACACUUCAAUGAAAUUUUUUUAAAAAACCCUA